rnacentral:lncRNA from 1 species
CAACUUUUUUUUUUUUUUUUUGUAAACAGGUUGCAUGCAAAUGUCAGAACCACCAUUCAUCCCCAGGCCUGCGUUGUACCAAAGAUUGUCAACACCACUGUCCUGCAGGGGUAACCUUCCAUCUGUCCUUUACAUUUGUGCAUCUCACCGUGCUGAUCUGUAAAAGAGGGAUAAUGACAACCCAGCAGUGAUGCCUCCGUGAGUUCCUUCUCUUUCCCUCUUGCAAACCAGGUAUUGCCAUUAAGAUAACACAACAUUAAAUCAGCCUGAGAUGAGUUUUGAAAGAGCAAUUCUGCUGGUUCUUAUUGCAGAUAUUCAAAGGUGUGAGUCAUGACUCAAUAAGAAGCCAUGUGAGGAUCCAGCUUCUCUCCCACCUCUGGAUCUCUGGUGACCGCAGCUCAGCCCUGGGCCCCGCUACUGGCCCAAGGAAGACCCACACAUCUUGGAUCACGCACCUCAGGUCAGGGAGGCUUUCAAGGACUUGUGGGAGGUGAUGGUGAGGAGUGACCAGCCUGUUAGUCUUAAUAUAGUCCUAAGAAAAGUUGCUCAGAGGGCUUCUUUCAAAAAUAGAAGGAUUUGAUUGAGUCCUGGCUUCUGGGGUGUAUAGAUAGUCUCAUUCUUAUUAUAUCACUUGGAUUGAUUUGCAGAUUAAUACCAGUUUUGGAAAAACUGCCAGCCUGUAGUACUAGACACAGGAGACAGAGAUAUCAUAUACCAAUGUCCACAGCCUGUGCUUCUGCCUUUCCGGUGGAUUCUGUUCUGUUAUGGGUGGCAGUGGGAGGCCAGGACUGGACAGGGAAGGCCUACAGCUCACCCUGGCAACUUUCUUUCCUAACAAGAUCUCGCUGUGGCCAGGAAGUGUGCAUUCACUUGUCGAAUCUUCUCCACAACUCUGGGAGUUCCCACUAUUAUUACCCCCACUUAAGAGAAUAGGAAAAUUGAGCGUCAGAGAGGUUCACUACCUUGCAAGUAUGCAACAGAGCCAAGAUUUGAGCAGAAGUGUGUCUAAAUGCUGUGGCCAGUAAGGGUUUUUUGUACACCUGGGUGAGGUGGGGGUGGGCUGGGCAUCUGGGGUGUUGAGUGCUUUCAGGGAGGAGACACUGCGACUGGGGAUGGACUGGGGAGAGGGGAUGGUAACAGCACAUGUGAGAUGGUAAUCCACUCAUUCAGUUAUUCCUGAGCACCUGCUAUGUCCAGGCACCAUGGAUCUCAAAAUAAAACACAGUACCUUUCCUCAAAUAGGGCAGCAGGAACAGACACAAGUGCUAUGGGACUCUUUGUACACACUGCGAUGCUCACAGGAGACCCAUCCACUGCAGUUUUCAGAGACCCCCUGGUGCCUCUAGGGCCUAAUCCUAUGCCACGUCUGUGAUGUCUCCAAUUCACUGUACAUACUGCAUGGAGGAUCUUUUUGACGCACUGCUUUCUGGAUAAUAUCUGAACUCCCUUAGCACCCACGAGGGACAGGUCUGUGGGUGCCUCUUCUGCGUCACUGGUCACCCUUCCCACCCGGCUCCCCUCUGUGUCCCCUUUUCCUCUAGGUUCCAGCCAGGUAGGGCCCUGGGGAGGCAGUUGAACAAGCAUCCUUACUUUCUACCACUGUGCCCUCAGACACACGGUGCCCUCCCUGGAAUGCCCUUCCCAUGUCCAGCUGACCUGGCAGUGGGAAGUGACCACCUAAUGAAGUCUUCUCUGAUCUCCUGCCCGUAACACCAAUGCCCCUAUGGCACACACCUGGCAGAGAAGCAAAUCCCAAUGCCCCCACGUAUCCGGCUGACUUGGCCAAUGCCCGUCUCUCUAGGUGCUUCUCACCAUUGCCCAUGUCCACCAGUUACACAAGUCUUCUCCAGCGUCAGCUCUCUGCCUUCUCAGCAACUGCACACUUUCUGUUCUCUCUGCCUGGGAUGUUUUUUCCUGGGGAUACCACACUUUGAUUUUUCAGGUUCCAGCUUCCUGCACAAGAGAGACUAUCCCUGACCACCCUAUUUAAAAUGCAGGCUCCUUUUCUUUCUUCUUGAUCUCUGCACACUGCUUGGUUUUCUCAUUAUACCAGCACAAUUGCAAUAAUUUUGUGGAGGUCUUUGUGUACUUCAUCCUUCUGCCUCCCGGCACUUUCCACUGCAUUGAGGGAGGAGACCUUGCCAAUGAUGCUCCUAAUUGUAUUUCUGGCCUUUGAAAAAUAGUGCUUAAUAAAUAUUCAAUGAAGAGAUGGUGACUGUGUGGGUGUAGACAUAUGAAAGAACUCUGUUAAUAUGUGUGGAUUACACUCUAUGUAAAUGACAUUUUAAUAAAAAGUAGAUACCAAAUGUAUUGGCUAUUUGAAAGAACAGCUGGAGCAUGA